GACGUAGGGGGCGAGCGUUGUCCGGAAUCAUUGGGCGUAAAGGGCUCCUAGGCGGUUCAGUAAGUCGACUGUGAAAAUCCAGGGCUCAACCCUGGGGCGCCAGUCGAUACUGCUGUGACUCGAGUUCGGUAGAGGAGUGUGGAAUUCCUGGUGUAGCGGUGAAAUGCGCAGAUAUCAGGAGGAACACCAACGGCGAAGGCAGCACUCUGGGCCGAUACUGACGCUGAAGAGCGAAAGCGUGGGGAGCAAACAGG
rnacentral:rRNA from 1 species